rnacentral:rRNA from 1 species
GCAUAUCAAUAAGCGGAGGAAAAGAAAAUAACAAUGAUUCCCUUAGUAACGGCGAGUGAAGGGGGAAAAGCUCAAAUUUUAAAUCUGCUAGGUUUUAUUUAUCAGAAUUGUAAUUUGAAGAAGCGUUUUCCGCGUCUCGGUUGGCCCAAAUCCUUUGGGAUAAGGUAUCAUGGAGGGUGAGAAUCCCGUUCGGUUGACCUUAUGACGCUCUACGAUACGCUCUCUAAGAGUCGAGUUGUUUGGGAUUGCAGCUCAAAAUGGGAGGUAAAUUUCUCCUAAGGCUAAAUAUCGGCGAGAGACCGAUAGCGAACAAGUACCGUGAGGGAAAGAUGAAAAGAACUUUGAAAAGAGAGUAAAAUAGUACGUGAAAUUGUUGAAAGGGAAACGAUUGAAGUCAGUCGUACCGACGAGAAAUCAACUUAUCGUGUGCGAACU